rnacentral:rRNA from 1 species
CAGUCGCCGCGGUAAAACGGAGGAUCCAAGCGUUAUCCGGAAUCAUUGGGUUUAAAGGGUCCGUAGGCGGUCUUGUAAGUCAGUGGUGAAAGCCCAUCGCUCAACGGUGGAACGGCCAUUGAUACUGCAGGACUUGAAUUAUUGGGAAGUAACUAGAAUAUGUAGUGUAGCGGUGAAAUGCUUAGAGAUUACAUGGAAUACCAAUUGCGAAGGCAGGUUACUACCAAUUGAUUGACGCUGAUGGACGAAAGCGUGGGUAGCGAACAGGAUUAGAUACCCCGGUAGUCCCUGUCUCUUAUAC